AUGGGGAAUGCCCUGUGGUGCUGCUGCAAGGGAGAAGACGACGAUGAUGGAUAUGUCUAUCUUGGUGGCGACGAUGAUCAGCAUGCCUACUACUACCCGGCCCCGGCCGCCGUCUCCAGGUCCAGGCCGCACUACCAGCCAGCUGCGGGGUCUUCCCCAACUCAGGGGAGCAGCCUCCGCUGGCCCCAGUCUCCUCCGGCUCCGCCAUCCAGGCCCCGACUGCAGCUGCAUGCUCCUCCAUCUCCUCCUCCUGCCUGCUCAGCCGCCGCUUCGACGAGCAGGGGAAGCCUGACUCUCCGGCCCCAGCCACCUCCGGCGGCUCCAACCCCCAGGCCCCAACGGCAGCUGCAUGCUCCUCCUGUGCCUCACGGCGUUCCCUCCUCAACUUCGGCGAGCAGCAGCAGCAUCCUCCCGUCCCAGCCUGCUCCGGUUCCAGCCUCCAGACCCCAUAAGCGGGGGCCGCAGCAGCCUUCUUCUCCUGUGACCCAUGGCCAUGGCGUCGCCGUCGCCUCCUCAACUUCGACAUGCAUGCUCCUCCGCCCCCAAAAGCAGAAGCCGCGACCGCCUCCCCCGAUUUCCCAUGGCGUCGUCGCGGUCGACUCUCCAGCUUCGACGACGAGCUGCCUCCUCCGUUUUGAGCAAGACCUCCUCAACUUCGUGCUCACCAAAAUGGUUCCUGAAAGGCUCGGAGAGCAUGUUACAUCAUCCAAGAAAGCACAAGCUAAAUGGUAUAGGAAUAUCUCUGAAGCUUAUGUAAAAACAGAACCCCCUCCGAGAACAUUGGCAGAGGCUGCCAUGCUAGUUGCUACAGCUCUGGGCAGGAUCCAGGGAGCUAAUUUGGAGGGUGUCCUUGCCUACUAUGGCUUCCCGAUUCCAAUGCCCCCUGUAGUCACCACAGAGCACCAUCCAGCAUCACUACCAGACGGCGUGCAGUUCGUCCUGAAAACUUUGCCGAUUUAUGCAAAGUGCAUUGGAGAUGGUGAUGGCUUUACUGCUUAUGUUGACACAGCAGAUCCAACAGAAUCAACAAAUGUGCCACAGGAAGUGCGUGAGGCUGUCAAUGCAAUGUUACAAACACCCAAGCAUAGGAACAGCCAACAGAAAAAUGUGCUCCAAAGUAAACUGAACAAAGCUGGUUAUAGGAUAAUAUAUACUUCAAAAUAUGAGAUCCUUGCAAGGCAAUACCGCUUCAGAUUGAGGGGCAUUGAUGCACCGGAGAUGGGAAUGCAAUAUGGGAAGGAGUCCCAGAAUGCGCUGGUGAACCUUAUCGCUGGCAAAAGUGUCAUGGUUUACGUAUAUGGGCAGGACCAGUAUGAUCGCUGUGUUGGAGAUAUCUAUUGUGAUGGUGUGUUCAUCCAGGAACAAAUGCUGAAGGAGGGUCAUGCAUGGCAUUACAAGAUUUACGACAAACGCAAAGAAUUUGCAAAAUGGGAGAUGAAAGCACGAGAUGCACGCCGAGGGCUUUGGGCAUCUGAUAACCCUGAGAAGCCAUGGGAUUGGAAAAGGAAGCACAACGUGAGAAAUGAGACAUCUGAUAACCUUGAUAAGACAUGGGAAUGGAGACGGAAAUCGCACAAUGCAAGACACCAGAACACCUCAAUUCAGGUGACAUUGUGUACCUGA
rnacentral:rRNA from 1 species